rnacentral:tRNA from 2 species
UAUUCGGAGGUUSGAAUCCUUCCGUCCCAG